rnacentral:rRNA from 1 species
UACGUAGGGGGCAAGCGUUGUCCGGAUUUAUUGGGCGUAAAGAGCGUGUAGGCGGCUAGAUAGGUCCGUUGUGAAAACUCGAGGCUCAACCUCGAGACGCCGGUGGAAACCAUCUAGCUAGAGUCCGGAAGAGGAGAGUGGAAUUCCUGGUGUAGCGGUGAAAUGCGCAGAUAUCAGGAGGAACACCGGUGGCGAAGGCGGGUCUCUGGGCAACAACUGACGCUGAGGAGCGAAAGCCAGGGGAGCAAACAGG